AAGCUUUAUAUUUGCACUAAAUGCAGCAACCUCAAAUUAUUAUUAUUCUUUUAAAUUUAUUUUUGCAUAUAUAAGAAUGGGUAACUAGAGUGUUCCAUUAAAGACGUCUGUGAGGUCCAAAGUUCUUUAAUACAAUAUGUAUGUCAGUCUGCUUGUCCCAGGUCUGAAGGCAUCUAAACAGCAGACGGCCAAACUGUUUGGGACACUGACAGCCUGAAUGCUGUGCAGAUCAAAGUUCA